rnacentral:miRNA from 1 species
GGCUGGCGUACGUUGGCGUUGC